CAGUAGCCACGGGAAUACAGAGGAUGCAAGCGUUAUCCGGAAUUACUGGGCGUAAAGCGUGCGUAGGUGGUGGUUUAAGUCCGUUGUGAAAGCCCUGGGCUCAACCUGGGAAUUGCAGUGGAUACUGGGUCACUAGAGUGUGGUAGGGGAUAGUGGAAUUUCCGGUGUAGCAGUGAAAUGCGUAGAGAUCGGAAGGAACAUCUGUGGCGAAGGUGACUAUCUGGGCCAACACUGACACUGAGGCACGAAAGCGUGGGGAGCAAACAGGAUUAGAUACCCCAGUAGUCCCUGUCUCUUAUAC
rnacentral:rRNA from 1 species